AGGCCCAGGCCCACAGAGACAACGAUGAUGGCCACAGCUAAGAUGAUCCAGAAAUUAUUCCUCCACCAGCUCAUUGCAGUGGAAUCCUGAGAAGAAUGGAGAGAGAAGAAUGAGCUUCUUGCAUGACUGCCUGAAAUCCGCCUCCUGUCAGAUCAGCAGGGGCAUUGGAUUAUGAUAGGAAUGAGAACACCAUUGUGGACAGCGCAUGCCAGGGAUCUAGGUUCCGCGCUCCUUAUGAGAAUCUGAUGCCUGAUGAUCUGUCACUGUCUCCCAUCACCCCCAGAUGGGACUGUCUAGUUGAAGAAAAACAAGUUCAGGGCUCCCACUGAUGCUACGUUACGGUGAGUUGUAUAAUUAUUUCAUUAUAAUUACAAUGUAAUGAUAAUAGAAAUAAAGGGCACAAUAAAUAU
rnacentral:antisense_RNA from 1 species